rnacentral:misc_RNA from 1 species
GCGUGGUGUUGGUCUCCCUGAUAAUGAGGCUGCAUUAAGCAUCCACUCGUUCCUGAAUAGUAAUUGGAAAGCAUUCGAUUUUAGAGUUUCCUACUUGAAAAGGAAUCACUGAAUCAGGCUUCUACCAAAUUAGGGCUUCCAUUUUGUCAAAUGGAUUUUCUGGUCUGCGUAUUUGAAAGGGCAGAGAUGAGAGACAGCGGUGUUGUG